rnacentral:lncRNA from 1 species
CUUUUAAGGAUGAAUGAAGAAGCCCUUCUAGAUAGAUUUUGUUCUCAGACUGAGUUCUCAGUCUUCUGCACAAAUCCUUCAGUGAGAUUUUUAACAUUCACUGCUUAUAGCAAAAGUGUAACACCACAGUGACAUCCACACACAAUUUUGUAGAAUUUGUUGUAUCUGACAGUGAUCUUCAUUAAUGAUGAUUAGGAAAUAAUAGGAGAAUGUCGUUACAGUGAAUUUGCUUUGGUAAAAGAGUGCAAUAUAUUGUCUAGAAAAUGGAAAUAACAACUAAAAAUCAGCUCCUUCCCAGCUAUGCCACUGAAUAAUGAAAUCUUAUUUCACUUACCCAUGUUAUUGCUUUUCUCUUUCUGCUAAAAAUGUAAGUAAUCUGGAACUGGCCAUCUUUGCACAGCAUCAGUCGUAGUUGAGCCCCAAACUUUGACGCUGCUCAUCUCAUUGUACUGUAAGAUAAUAUAAUAAUCUUUUCGACAGGAAGAGAAAAAGAUGUAACUCUUCCAGUAAUCCUAGAUAAUGAUCUGUGAACAACAUUGUAGCUUUUCAUUUCAGGAGAGGUUUUUCCCUUUACUGAAAAAGGCCUGAGGCUUUGUACAGACAGCAAAAUUCCAGGUCUUGGGGACUUCUGAGCAGAUUCUAGCAUUGUUAGUUUUGAAAACAGCUGUGUAGCAAGCAGAUAACUUUUGCCUUAAUUUAUUUUAGUUUUAUUUUUACAGAGAUGAAAAGUAAUUGCUCUGUGUAGGUUGAAUUGUCUGAGCCAUCCACAAUCAAGCGCUGUGCAGAAGAUUUUAGACCUUCCUACACCAUCAGCCUUAGGACUCAAGAGGACUUUUGAAUGAUCCUGGUCAUUAAUCCAUGGAUUAAUGCUGCCAUCACACUCAGGGCCUCCAUCUGCGCAUCUGGAGAAGACUGAAUCAUAUAAAAACAUUUCUUCUUCUAAUUGAGAUAACCCUGAAAAUACAAACUGAAGAGGAGAAACACACUCUGCACGCUGUGGUAGGAGAGCAAUGCGUUGAUGCCAUAUUUCCAGGUUGUUCUUUAUUCUCUCUGUUGCUGUUGUCAACGUGGCUUGUCAGAUCCUCGUUGGAAAACAAACGGAAUGUAUUGCCCUGUCCAGACCUGGAAAUCUCGAUGAUUUCUGUCAUACUGUACUCCAAAAAUUAUUCUGAAGCAUUUUCUAGUUCAGAGUGAGUUAUUUUCAGCACUCUGAAACCCAAGAAAUGAACAACAAAUAAUAUAUAAGACAUGCCCCAAAAUCUGAGCCUAUUCGUUUCAAUGGAUGUAUUGUAACCAUACCUUCAAAACUUCAGCUUAUAAGCGAUAAAAAUAUUGAACAAAAAUUAUAUGUGAGAACUUUUAGAAAGGAAUAAAUGUGUAUCCAAUACAAACCCA